rnacentral:rRNA from 1 species
AUUACAGAGUUGCAAAACUCCCCAAACCAUUGUGAACCUUACCUUCUACCGUUGCUUCGGCGGGCGGGCCACAGCGCCCCCCCGGGCCCCCUCGGGGGCGCCCGCCGGAGGAUAACCAAACUCUUGAUAUUCGUGGCCUCUCUGAGUCUUCUGUACUGAAUAAGUCAAAACUUUCAACAACGGAUCUCUUGGUUCUGGCAUCGAUGAAGAACGCAGCGAAAUGCGAUAAGUAAUGUGAAUUGCAGAAUUCAGUGAAUCAUCGAAUCUUUGAACGCACAUUGCGCCCGCCAGUAUUCUGGCGGGCAUGCCUGUUCGAGCGUCAUUUCAACCAUCAAGCCCCCGGCUUGUGUUGGGGACCUGCGGCUGCCCGCAGGCCCUGAAAACCAGUGGCGGGCUCGCUGUCACACCGAGCGCAGUAGCAACAUCUCGCUCAGGGCGUGCUGCGGGUUCCGGCCGUUAAAGGCCUUUUACACCCAAGGUUGACCUCGGAUCAGGUAGGAAGACCCGCUGAACUUAAGCAUAUCAAUAAGCGGAGGAAAAGAAACCAACAGGGAUUGCCCUAGUAACGGCGAGUGAAGCGGCAACAGCUCAAAUUUGAAAUCUGGCUUCGGCCCGAGUUGUAAUUUGCAGAGGAAGCUUUAGGCGCGGCACCUCCUGAGUCCCCUGGAACGGGGCGCCACAGAGGGUGAGAGCCCCGUAUAGUUGGAUGCCUAGCCUGUGUAAAGCUCCUUCGACGAGUCGAGUAGUUUGGGAAUGCUGCUCAAAAUGGGAGGUAAAUUUCUUCUAAAGCUAAAUACCGGCCAGAGACCGAUAGCGCACAAGUAGAGUGAUCGAAAGAUGAAAAGCACUUUGAAAAGAGGGUUAAAUAGCACGUGAAAUUGUUGAAAGGGAAGCGCUUGUGACCAGACUUGCGCCGGGCUGAUCAUCCGGU